rnacentral:rRNA from 1 species
GAUGAACGCUAGCGGGAGGCCUAACACAUGCAAGUCGAACGGGAUUCACCUUCGGGUGAUGAGAGUGGCGCACGGGUGAGUAACGCGUAUGCAACCUUCCCCAAUCAGGGGGAUAGCCCGGAGAAAUCCGGAUUAAUACCCCAUAUAAUUAUGGUUUCGCAUGGGACUUUAAUGAAAGCUCCGGCGGUUUGGGAUGGGCAUGCGUGGCAUUAGCUUGUCGGUGAGGUAACGGCUCACCAAGGCGACGAUGCCUAGGGGUUCUGAGAGGAUGAUCCACCACACUGGUACGGAGACACGGACCAGACUCCUACGGGAGGCAGCAGUGAGGAAUAUUGGUCAAUGGGCGCAAGCCUGAACCAGCCAUCCCGCGUGAAGGAAGACUGCCCUAUGGGUUGUAAACUUCUUUUGUACAUGAAGAACGGGCCUUACGCGUAAGGUUAUGACGGUAAUGUACGAAUAAGCAUCGGCUAACUCCGUGCCAGCCGCCGCGGUAAAAC